rnacentral:lncRNA from 13 species
GCUCGGGCAACAGGGGCACGACAGCCCCAUGGAAAUACAGAGGCCCCUGUCCACGCACAAGCGCCAUUCAAAGGGAAGUAUUUUCCUGACAGAAUCCCAGCUCAGUGUUCUUUCCUUUCCCCGUUUUAUAUUUUUCCACCCCCACUUCACCAGAAAUCUUUUUUAACCUCCUCAGAGCCUUGGGGGAAAAGACCCAUUAAUUUGCAAAUCAUCUGAUCUGUGAAAGGAUCAAGAUGCCUGGUUUUCACUGCUAAAUCCAAUGUCUUGAGUGGACACAUAGGCACACACAAGCCUGCCAUGCUGCCAACCCUUGGGAGCAUAGGUGCCAGAUCUGAAACCAAGAAAAGACUCCCUCUCCUCCUGGGACCUGCAGCCAAAUUAAGCCUUAGAUUCCAAACUGCAUAAUGUUCAUAUUUUUAAACCUGGAGAGAAGUGGGGAGAUGAAGGGGGACAAAAGAGGGGGAAGUUUGUUAAUUUACAUGUUCUAUUCAGGACUCAGACUAAUUGUCUUCCCCAUUCCCAGCUGCCCCCCUCAAAUCAUUUCUUACAGGAGUUGCUUUUAUUCAUUCUCAUGUCCUAUUCUUUUCAUUUUUGGAUUAAAAUCUACUUGUUUAGUAUCUACUGCGGAGCAAAAAUGUGACCAUGCUCUUUCUGUCUUGUCAGAGGGUCAGAAGCAGCACAGGAUUCCUAGACAAGGAGCGCGGGGACCUGGCUACGCUGUCCCCGGCCUUUGGAGACAGCCCAUGGCACCAGGCUCUGGAGAGCCUGCUUCCUGACUUCAGCGGGGUGAAGAUGAUACAAUACUUUCUGGUGCUGACAUUCAGCUGUCCCCCAAGCAGCAUUGUGCUCUCCAGAAAGGCUGCACUUGGUCACAGUUUCGUUAGCAUGGCAUUCGAAUGCGGCCUCCUUGGAUUCUGGCCAGCACUGGGCACUGCUGCUGUCUUCGAGCCACUAGUUCUCAAUCUGGGGCAUGGCUUUGAAGAGAAGGUUGCUAAGCCUCCUCAACCCCAAUGCACACCAAUGCCAUUUCCCCACUCAUCUGGAAACCUGGUGGGUCCUGGCCAAACGCCUGUAUGUCAAUUCCACCUCCAACUUGGCUGCCUACCAUGCCAACAUUUUCAUCUCAAGCCUUUCAGAUCUGCUUUGGGCACCCGAAGACAGAGUGAAUCAUCUUUCAAGGGUCAGACACUUAGCACAUGCCCUUCCCUCUGCUUAGAAUGCUUUUCCCUCUUUCCCAAUUGCCUUUUAUUAUCAGCCUAAAAAAUAUUUAUUUCUGUCCCUAAAAUCUCAGAUAUUACUUCUCCAGGUGCUUUCCCAGACCCCUCACUUUAUUCCAGAAGGAGCUACCACCACUUUUGCCUGGCGAGUACGUUUUCACAGUUACACUUAUACGCUACAGCAACUUAUUGGUGAUUUGUCUGUCUCCCUUACUCAACAGUGAAUUAUUCACCUAUCCCUGGAAACCUGGAACUACUCAAUAAAUGUUUGUGGCAUGAAUAUACA